GACGAACGCUGGCGGCGUGCUUAACACAUGCAAGUCGAACGGUAAGGCCCUUCGGGGUACACGAGUGGCGAACGGGUGAGUAACACGUGGGUGAUCUGCCCUGCACUUCGGGAUAAGCCUGGGAAACUGGGUCUAAUACCGGAUAGGACCACUGCCUGCAUGGGUGGUGGUGGAAAGCUUUUGCGGGGUGGGAUGGGCCCGCGGCCUAUCAGCUUGUUGGUGGGGUGAUGGCCUACCAAGGCGACGACGGGUAGCCGGCCUGAGAGGGUGACCGGCCACACUGGGGCUGAGAGAAGGCCCAGAGUCCUACGGGAGGCAGGAGUGGGGGAUAUUGCACAGUGGGCGCCAGCCUGAUGCAGCGACGCCGCGUGAGGGAUGUCGGCCUUCGGGUUGUAAACCUCUUUCAGCACCGACGAAGCGCAAGUGACGGUAGGUGCAGAAGAAGGACCGGCCAACUACGUGCCAGCCGCCGCAGUAAGAC
rnacentral:rRNA from 1 species